GGAAGUAAAAGUCGUAGCAAGGUUUCCGUAGGUGAACCUGCGGAAGGAUCAUUAUUGAAUGAAACACUUCUGGCUUUAUGCUGUUGUGCCGGCCCUUUGGGCAAUGUGCACACGGCUCUGGUCACUUGUUUCUUCUGUUCCACCUGUGCACUGCCUGUAGACACGCUGUGUCUAUGAUAUUUGUUAACACACAACAAUGUUAGUUGGCAUGUUAUAUAUAAUAAUAAAAUAUACAACUUUCAACAACGGAUCUCUUGGCUCUC
rnacentral:misc_RNA from 1 species